rnacentral:lncRNA from 1 species
CUCAACCUCCCUCUCGACCUCCCUACCACCCCCACCACCUCAAAUCCCCCCUCCGCGCCUCGACACCCUAUCCCCUAAUACCCUAAACUCCAGCUCCCGCCGCGUCCGCUUGACCAUUAGGUCGUGAUGUCCACCGCCUCCGCGCAGCACAGUGCUCCCCCGACGAUUGACAGGAUCGGGUGGUGGGGUCCCACUCCGUCCCAGCCCCGCCUUGGGACAUUGAGCGCGGUGAAAGAGCGCAAGCGCGCCCAGAAGUCCACUACUGCCCGAGCGCGGGCGUAUUCCAGGGGGGUUGCUGCUGCUGUUGCUGUUGCUGCUGCUGUUGCUGCUGCUGUUGCCGUCCCCGGUCCCGCGAUGGGCCCCUGCGUUUGAUCCUCGAGUACCGGCGCGUUCAGCGGCGGCCCCUCGUGUGGUCUCACUCCGUUGGCCAGGUGAAAGAAGUCCGUUAUCCGCCGCUGUUGGGGCCCUUGCGCCUGGAUCUGUUGCGCUUGCUCUGGCUGUUCUGUCGCGGGGUUAGCCGCCCUUUCCAGUCGCCGUCCGGCUGCUCGCAGGCAGCACC